rnacentral:rRNA from 1 species
CUAUGGUUCUUCUUGUUGGUUUAGGACCAAGUAAUGAUUAAUAGGGACAGUUGGGGGCAUUCGUAUUUAGUAGCUAGAGGUGAAAUUCUUAGACCUACUAAAGACGAACUACUGCGAAAGCAUCUGCCAAGGAUGUUUUCAUUAAUCAAGAACGAAAGUUAAGGGAUCGAAGACGAUCAGAUACCGUCGUAGUCUUAACCAUAAACGAUGCCGACUAGAGAUUGGAAGCUGUCAUGUUUACGCCGCUUUCAA